UACGUAGGUGGCAAGCGUUGUCCGGAUUUAUUGGGUUUAAAGGGUGCGUAGGCGGCCUUAUAAGUCAGUGCUGAUAUAUCCCGGCUUAACCGGGAGGGUGGCAUUGAUACUGUAGGGCUUGAGUGGAAUUGAGGUUGGCGGAAUUGACGGUGUAGCGGUGAAAUGCUUAGAUAUCGUCAAGAACACCGAUAGCGAAGGCAGCUAACUAAACUCUAACUGACGCUGAUGCACGAAAGUGUGGGGAUCAAACAGG
rnacentral:rRNA from 1 species